rnacentral:sRNA from 1 species
GGCAGGUUCCGGGCGUCGGGACAAUUCGUGAUGGCGGGGGCUGGUUCUGCCGCUGUAUCGGGGGCAGGGACCCCGGUGGCGGGGCCCACAGGCCGCGACCUUUUCGCCGAAGGUCUGCUGGAGUUCCUGCGACCCGCUGUGCAGCAGCUCGACUCUCACGUACACGCCGUCAGAACUGUGCCGCAUAAAUGAGGAUCAGAAGGUGGCCCUGGAUCUUGACCCCUAUGUUAAGAAGCUACUUAAUGCCCGGCGACGCGUUGUCUUGGUUAACAACAUUCUACAGAAUGCUCAGGAACGACUGAGACGGCUAAACCACAGUGUUGCCAAGGAAACAGCCCGCAGGAGAGCAAUGCUGGAUUCGGGAAUUUACCCCCCUGGCUCCCCAGGCAAAUAACAGAUGAGCCUAUGGACUCAGUAGCACAAGUACUGUUCCCCAGCUGCCUUGUUUCAACAGACAUGCAAAGAUCCUAGGAGACAGUCCCCAUAGACCUUCAGACAUUAAAAAGGGAGCCGUACGGUUCGUUUGAAGCACUUCGUCUUACCCAUUUAUGUAGGGGCCCCAGGAAACCUACACACAGCCAGAAUGAGGUUCCCAAAGGACUUACAUUAAUUAUGGCUCUUGCUUCCUUUCACAAAUGAGCUGAGGCCUCUACUUUUUUUUUUAAGCUGCAUACUUGAGGCUUACCUUCUUCAGGACUAGUUAACCAGAGGGGCUUCCUUUGUAUGUUACAUGCCUGGUUACACGGGCCUGGACAGCAUGUCCUCUACCUGUGACUUCUCAUUUUCCUGUUUACACUGGGGAUUUGGAGGGGGCAGGCAAAGUCAAAGUGAAUGACCUCUGUCCACCCACUUUUUUAUUGCACUGGCUUGAAUACAGUAGCAGUGUUGAUAGAAUCAUUUUAUUCAAUAAAUACUUAAAACG